rnacentral:tRNA from 1 species
GCAGGGGUAGUCAAGACGGCCAAUUGCACGCCAGGCGUGCAUGCCACCGACGCGGGACUCAAGAUCCCGUCGCGCAGAAAGGUGCUCAUUAAGCGCACUUUGUAGACGCGUACCGGGGUUCGAAUCCCCGCCCCUGCA